GGAGAUAUGGCUCAGUGGUGAAGAGCACUGGCUGUACUUCCACAGGACCUGGGUUCAAAUCCCAGCACAUACA
rnacentral:tRNA from 1 species